rnacentral:hammerhead_ribozyme from 1 species
AUCUGGAUGACGAGUCUCAAAAAGGACGAAAGGAGCAUCCUGGAU